GCAUCAUCAACAACAGCGGGGGUUUAGAAUUAGAUCAAUUUUUCUCCAAAAAUGUGGAGAAACCAACAACUUAUUAUUAAGAUUAGAACAAGAAUACCCUUAUUAUCAACCUGGAUUCCAAAAACCCUAAACCCUAAAUUUGUAUCUCUCCAAGAACCAAUCACCCAAUUUCAAAACCCACCAAAUUUCUCAACUUUAUCUUUCUUCUUUCCUAAACAACCAAUAUCGGUUUCACAAAACCACCCCCAAUAUCAUCUUAUUAUAUCGAAUCCCAAAAUUCUUGGAAACAUUUUCAAUAGUUUCUUCUGUUCAUCUAGUUUCAGUAGCUGUUGGAAUUGUAAGCAUGACAAGGCGUUUCUGAUUUGUGAAUCUUGUGGAAGUAUCCAGCCUGUUGAUUAUUUCACCAUUUUUGGUUUAUCAUGGAAAUUAGGGAAGCAGUGGAAGAAGCCCCCGACAACCGAGCACUGAUUCAGAUUCAAUCCCAGAUGGAGGAACUUGGACGUUGGUCUUAAUUGUUUGCAAAUGCUUUUGAAAGUAAAAAAUACGGUGAGGAUAUCAAAUCAAUUCAAAGAAUGACCUACUACCAUCUUGUGAAUGAAGAGAUUGUUAAGAGGCUCUGUUAUUUUGAGCCGUUUCGUGACAUAUAGAUAAAAAGCAUUACAGGUGGUGUUGUUUGGCACUUGAUGUAUGAGAAUAGGCCUUAACAAGGAACAUGAAUUCAUUUGAUUUGUUAAAGCCCACAUUGUAGGGAAAUAGCGAGAAUGUUAUACUCUGUGUGCCAAAAUUGAAUAAAGAUGUUGUAUACAUGCUUACACUUCUGUUUA